GCCUCUGCAGGUCGACGGGAGAUCGCCUCGAACUAUCAACAAUCAGAGACGUUUCUUGAGGACACGUGGGUUCGAAUCCCACCGGAGGCA